GUUCACACCAUCACCGGUCAUGCCGCAAAUGUGCUUACUCUCUUGCAACUUCUUGACAAUUUCAUAUUUAUGUUCUGGGAAGACUCCUGCAAAGCCAUCAGCCUUCUCGAUCAAUUCAUCGAUGGGAAGUCCAGCAAUGGACUCAUCCUUGUGUUGGCCGAGCAAUGAAGAAGAAGGAUACAUAUUUGUUCCCAUUCCAAGCCUACGGCCUGUUUCCUUGGCAAUAGCAAGUUGAUCCCCAGUUAUCAUCUUCACAUUCACG
rnacentral:misc_RNA from 1 species